UGUUGGGAGCACCACCCACAGCAGGCAGUGAAGGCAGUCCCGGAGCAGGGUACGACCUGCAUCAUCUGCAUGGACCCCGUAGGUGACAGCAGAUCAUACAGCACCAUGGUGUGCCCAUCUUGCCAACACGCCUGGUUCCACCGCGCGUGCGUCCAGGUAGGAGCACUCCCCUUGCCCCGUGGGAAUGGUCAGCGCUCAGCAGCACCAGGCCUGGCUCACACGCACGUUGCUUGUGUUUCUGCUGCAGAAACAGGCCCUGUGCGCAGGGAUUUACUGCUUCCAGUGACCCCUCUGCAGAGACAGGGGCUGUUUUACAACAGACAUGCUCACUGCGGGGAUCCGAAUCCCAUUCAGAAGACCAACAUGGGAGGACAACGAUGCCUACGCAUCCCUGAGAGUUAGGCACCAGCACUGCGAUGCCAGAGACUGCCUUAGUCCACACGGCAGGGAUUGGGCAGAGAGAGAAGGGCCCUGGGAGCUGCUCCUCUGCAACUCCUGUGCUGCACAAGGGACUCAUCGGCGCUGUUUCUACCUGAGUCACAGGACAACCAGGUGGGAUUGCAACACCUGUGCUGGAGAGGGCACCGGUAAGAGGCAAAAGUCCCUCUGGCCCAGGAGGGAUAGGUGCCUACCCCAGUGGUAUAGAUCAACCUC